rnacentral:rRNA from 1 species
AACGAACGCUGGCGGCGCGCUUAACACAUGCAAGUCGAACGAGAAGGCGUAGCAAUACGCUGUACAGUGGCGAACGGGUGAGGAAUACAUGGGUAACCUACCCUCGAGUGGGGGAUAACCCGCCGAAAGGCGGGCUAAUACCGCGUACGCUUCCGAUCUUGCGGGAUUGGAAGGAAGCUGUCCCUUGGGGGAUGGCGCUNAAGGAUGGGCUCACGUCCUAUCAGCUUGGUU